AGGAUGAACGCUGGCGGCGUGCCUAAUACAUGCAAGUCGAGCGAACAGACGAGGAGCUUGCUCCUCUGACGUUAGCGGCGGACGGGUGAGUAACACGUGGAUAACCUACCUAUAAGACUGGGAUAACUUCGGGAAACCGGAGCUAAUACCGGAUAAUAUAUUGAACCGCAUGGUUCAAUAGUGAAAGACGGUUUUGCUGUCACUUAUAGAUGGAUCCGCGCCGCAUUAGCUAGUUGGUAAGGUAACGGCUUACCAAGGCAACGAUGCGUAGCCGACCUGAGAGGGUGAUCGGCCACACUGGAACUGAGACACGGUCCAGACUCCUACGGGAGGCAGCAGUAGGGAAUCUUCCGCAAUGGGCGAAAGCCUGACGGAGCAACGCCGCGUGAGUGAUGAAGGUCUUCGGAUCGUAAAACUCUGUUAUUAGGGAAGAACAAAUGUGUAAGUAACUAUGCACGUCUUGACG
rnacentral:rRNA from 1 species